rnacentral:rRNA from 1 species
GACGAACGCUGGCGGCGUGCUUAACACAUGCAAGUCGAACGGAAAGGCCCUGCUUUUGUGGGGUGCUCGAGUGGCGAACGGGUGAGUAACACGUGAGUAACCUGCCCUUGACUUUGGGAUAACUUCAGGAAACUGGGGCUAAUACCGGAUAGGAGCUCCUGCUGCAUGGUGGGGGUUGGAAAGUUUCGGCGGUUGGGGAUGGACUCGCGGCUUAUCAGCUUGUUGGUGGGGUAGUGGCUUACCAAGGCUUUGACGGGUAGCCGGCCUGAGAGGGUGACCGGCCACAUUGGGACUGAGAUACGGCCCAGACUCCUACGGGAGGCAGCAGUGGGGAAUAUUGCACAAUGGGCGGAAGCCUGAUGCAGCAACGCCGCGUGCGGGAUGACAGCCUUCGGGUUGUAAACCGCUUUCGCCUGUGACGAAGCGUGAGUGACGGUAAUGGGUAAAGAAGCACCGGCUAACUACGUGCCAGCAGCCGCAGUAA